rnacentral:rRNA from 1 species
AGAGUUUGAUCCUGGCUCAGGAUGAACGCUGGCGGCGUGCCUAACACGAUGCAAGUCGAACGAAGCACUCGAAGCUUGCUUUGGGUGACUUAGUGGCGGACGGGUGAGUAAUGCGUGAGCAACCUGCCUUUCAGAGGGGGACAACAGUUGGAAACGACUGCUAAUACCGCAUAACGCAGCGGGAGGCAUCUUCCUGCUGCCAAAGGAGCAAUCCGCUGAAAGAUGGGCUCACGUCUGAUUAGCUUGUUGGUGGGGUAACGGCUCACCAAGGCUGCGAUCAGUAGCCGGACUGAGAGGUUGAACGGCCACAUUGGGACUGAGAUACGGCCCAGACUCCUACGGGAGGCAGCAGGUGGGGAAUAUUGGGCAAUGGGCGAAAGCCUCGACCCAGCAACGCCGCGUGAAGGAAGAAGGUCUUCGGAUUGUAAACUUCUUUUAUGAGGGACGAAGGACGUGACGGUACCUCAUGAAUAAGCCACGGCUAACUACGUGCCAGCCGCAGC